CCCUUAGAUGUUCUGGGCCGCACGCGCGCUACACUGAUGCAUUCAACGAGCACCCGCUGGGCCGAGAGGUCCGGCUAAUCUUUGAACGUGCAUCGUGCUGGGGAUAGAUGAUUGCAAUUAUUCAUCUUCAACGAGGAAUUCCUAGUAAACGCAAGUCAUCAGCUUGCGUUGAUUACGUCCCUGCCCUUUGUACACACCGCCCGUCGCACCUACCGAUUGAAUGGUCCGGUGAAAUUCUCGGACGCGGACUUGCGAUGUUAAUUCGGAGCUUGACUGUGAAAGUUAAUUAAACCUUACCAUUUAGAGGAAGGUGAAGUCGUAACA
rnacentral:rRNA from 1 species